rnacentral:rRNA from 1 species
ACGCGUUGGGAAGCUCUCCCUAGUCGCCUGCAGGCGGCCGCCAAGCUAGUGACACGGAGGCACAGUGGGGAAUUUUGGACAAUGGGCGAAAGCGUGAUCCAGCCAUGCCGCGUGUGUGAGAAGGCUUUCGGUUGUAUAGCACUUUCGGCCGGAACGAAAUCGCGCGGGUGAACAAUCCGCGUGGAUGACGGUACCGGAAGAAGAAGCACCGGCUAACUACGUGCCAGCAGCCGCGGUAAUACGUAGGGUGCGAGCGUUCAUCCCGAAUUACUGGGCGUAAAGCGUGCGCAGGCGGCGCCGCAAGUCAGGCGUGAAAUCCCCGGGCUUAACUUGGGAAUGGCGCUUGAAACUACGGUGCUGGAGUGUGGCAGAGGGAGGUGGAAUUCCACGUGUAGCGGUGAAAUGCGUAGAGAUGUGGAGGAACACCGAUGGCGAAGGCAGCCUCCUGGGCCAACACUGACGCUCAUGCACGAAAGCGUGGGGAGCAAACAGGAUUAGAUACCCUGGUAGUCCACGCCCUAAACGAUGAUGACUAGUUGUUGGGGGAGUUAAAUCCCUUAGUAACGCAGCUAACGCGUGAAGUCAUCCGCCUGGGGAGUACGGUCGCAAGAUUAAAACUCAAAGGAAUUGACGGGCCCGCCUUCGGUGGAUGAUGUGGUUUAAUUCGACGCAACGCGAAAAACCUUACCUACCCCUGACAUGUGAGGAACCCUGCAGAGAUGCAGGGGUGCCCGAAAGGGAACCUCAACACAGGUGCUGCAUGGCGUCGUCAGCUCGUGUCGUGAGAUGUUGGGUUAAGUCCCGCAACGAGCGCAACCCUUGCCAUUAGUUGCUACAUUCAGUUGAGCACUCUAAUGGGACUGCCGGUGACAAACCGGAGGAAGGUGGGGAUGACGUCAAGUCCUCAUGGCCCUUAUGGGUAGGGCUACACACGUCAUACAAUGGCGCGUACAGAGGGUUGCCAACCCGCGAGGGGGAGCCAAUCCCAGAAAGCGCGUGUAG